GCCCCUGUAGUAUAGCCUGGAUAGUACAUAACCUUGCGGUGGUUAAAACCACGGUUCAAAUCCGUGCAGGGGCA
rnacentral:tRNA from 1 species